rnacentral:sRNA from 1 species
AGACUGACACCGCGCGCGCUGUGCAGCGCCGCCCAGGCCGCCUGGCGGGAGGACUUCCCCUUGCGCGGUCGCGACGUGGCGCGCUGGUUCCCGGGCCACAUGGCCAAGGGGCUGAAGAAGAUGCAGAGCAGCCUGAAGCUGGUGGACUGUAUCAUCGAGGUCCACGAUGCCCGGAUCCCACUUUCAGGCCGCAACCCUCUGUUUCAGGAAACCCUUGGGCUUAAGCCUCACUUGCUGGUCCUCAACAAGAUGGACUUGGCAGAUCUUACAGAGCAGCAGAAAAUUAUGCAACACUUAGAAGGAGAAGGCUUAAAAAAUGUCAUUUUUACCAACUGUGUAAAGGAUGAAAAUGUCAAGCAGAUCAUCCCGAUGGUCACUGAACUGAUUGGGAGAAGCCACCGCUACCACCGAAGAGAGAACCUGGAGUACUGUAUCAUGGUCAUCGGGGUCCCCAACGUGGGCAAGUCCUCCCUCAUCAACUCCCUCCGGAGGCAGCACCUCAGGAAAGGUACUGGCGCGUGUGGCUGAUCACCUCAGGAAAGGUACUGGUGCGUGUGGCUGAUGUGCUGACGCCUCCAUCUUUCCCGGAGGGGACGUGCCUGAGGAGCACCGCCAGUCUUCUGCUGACCCCGCUGUCCCACAGCACAUCUUGUCUCGUUCAGUCCAGUUCACAGGAGGGCUGAACAGUGGGAU